CGUCAUUAUCACCUCUCAAGCCUGGCUUGUCGUUGGAUCUUCGUCGUCACAGACGGUUCCGAAAGAUAAUGACGGUGUCGCGAUCGGCCCUCGGUGCAACGAGCUAUUGCAGCACGCACCGUAGGGGUCGGCCGGCCCGGUCUUAACCAAAUAUUUCUAAGAUUGACCUCGGAUCAGGUAGGAAUACCCGCUGAACUUAA
rnacentral:misc_RNA from 1 species